rnacentral:rRNA from 1 species
AUUGAACGCUGGCGGCAGGCCUAACACAUGCAAGUCGAGCGGAGCGGCGGACGGGUGAGUAAUGCCUAGGAAUCUGCCUGGUAGUGGGGGAUAACGUCAGGAACUGGGCGCUAUUACCGCAUCCUAUCAGAUGAGCAUAGGUCGGAUUAGCUAGUUGGUGGGGUAAAGGCCUACCAAGGCGUCGAUCCGUAACUGGUCUGGGGGGAUGAUCAGUCACACGGGAACUGGGACACGGUCCAGACUCCAAGGGAGGGCAGCAGUGGGGAUUGUUGGACAAUGGGCGAAGGCCUGUUCCGGCCAUGCCGCGUGUGUGAAAAGGGUCUUCGGAUUGUAAGCACUUUAAGUUGGGAGGCGUUACCAACAGAAUAAGCACCGGCUAACUUCGUGCCAGCAGCCGCGGUAAUAC